AAAUAGAUACCCCGGUAGUCCACGCCGUAAACGAUGAGUGCUAAGUGUUAGAGGGUUUCCGCCCUUAGUGCUGCAGCUAACGCAUUAAGCACUCCGCCUGGGGAGUACGGUCGCAAGACUGAAACUCAAAGGAAUUGACGGGGGCCCGCACAAGCGGUGGAGCAUGUGGUUUAAUUCGAAGCAACGCGAAGAACCUUACCAGGUCUUGACAUCCCACUGACCGGUAUAGAGAUAUACCUUUCCCUUCGGGGACAGUGGUGACAGGUGGUGCAUAGUUGUCGUCAGCUCGUGUCGUGAGAUGUUGGGUUAAGUCCCGCAACGAGCGCAACCCUUGAUCUUAGUUGCCAGCAUUUAGUUGGGCACUCUAAGGUGACUGCCGGUGACAAACCGGAGGAAGGUGGGGAUGACGUCAAAUCAUCAUGCCCCUUAUGACCUGGGCUACACACGUGCUACAAUGGAUGGUACAAAGGGCUGCAAGACUGCGAAGUCAAGCCAAUCCCAUAAAACCAUUCUCAGUUCGGAUUGCAGG
rnacentral:rRNA from 1 species